GACGAACGCUGGCGGCGUGCCUAACACAUGCAAGUCGAGCGAUGAAGUUCUUCGGAACGGAUUAGCGGCGGACGGGUGAGUAACACGUGGGCAACCUGCCUUGUAGAGGGGAAUAGCCUUCCGAAAGGAAGAUUAAUACCGCAUAACAUUGUGUCUUCGCAUGAAGAUAUAAUUAAAGGAGUAAUCCGCUACAAGAUGGGCCCGCGGCGCAUUAGUUAGUUGGUGAGGUAACGGCUCACCAAGGCAACGAUGCGUAGCCGACCUGAGAGGGUGAUCAGCCACAUUGGGACUGAGACACGGCCCAGACUCCUACGGGAGGCAGCAGUGGGGAAUAUUGCACAAUGGGGGAAACCCUGAUGCAGCAACGCCGCGUGAGUGAUGACGGCCUUCGGGUUGUAAAGCUCUGUCUUCGGGGACGAUAAUGACGGUACCCGAGGAGGAAGCCACGGCUAACUACGUGCCAGCCGCCGCCGUAAUAC
rnacentral:rRNA from 1 species